CACGGGGGGGAGCAAGCGUUGUUCGGAAUUACUGGGCGUAAAGGGCGUGUAGGCGGUCAAGUAAGUGGAAUGUGAAAACGCCUCGGCUUACCCGAGGACCUGCAUCCCAAACUGCUUGGCUUGAGUAUGGGAGAGGAUGAGGGAAUUCCUGGUGUAGCGGUGAAAUGCGUAGAUAUCAGGAGGAACACCGGUGGCGAAAGCGCUCAUCUGGCCCAAUACUGACGCUGAGGCGCGAAAGCUAGGGGAGCAAACGGG
rnacentral:rRNA from 1 species